rnacentral:antisense_RNA from 1 species
CUUGACCGAGCCCAGCCACAACGGGCGGGUGCGGUCCUGGCCGUAGGUGGCCAACAACGCCUGUGCCUC